rnacentral:lncRNA from 1 species
AUCGCCCAAUUCUGACAUCCAGAACUCAAGUUACGGCCCAAACAAGAUUUGAUUCGCUGGCUAACCAUAAAGUCCGAAUUUUUAUCUGAUUAAGCCCAACUUGAUUUAAUCCAACUUUAGGAAUAUUUAUUUUCCUGAAAUUAAACACUUAAAAUCAAUUAGUAACAUCCCGAUUAUUUACAAAAUACUAAAAAUUAUGGGAAUAAAAUCAUAUAAAAACAUAUAUAAAUAUAUGCUCUAUCAAAUAUCCCCACACUUAGUCUUUUGCACGUCCUCGGGCAAAUAAAAUAAAUAAAACUAACACCUAAUAGAUAUAUACCACUUCCGUAGGUGAUCACGGUUGCAUUUGGCAUAUGCAACAAGCCCUUUAAACCCCUAGGCAGCCCUAGUGGACGAGUAAGGUCUCGUGAGGGCCU